rnacentral:rRNA from 1 species
GACGAACGCUGGCGGCGUGCUUAACACAUGCAAGUCGAACGGAAAGGCCCUGCUUUUGUGGGGUGCUCGAGUGGCGAACGGGUGAGUAACACGUGAGUAACCUGCCCUUGACGUGGGGAUAACUUCAGGAAACUGGGGCUAAUACCGGAUAGGAGCUCCUGCUGCAUGGUGGGGGUUGGAAAGUUUCGGCGGUUGGGGAUGGACUCGCGGCUUAUCAGCUUGUUGGUGGGGUAGUGGCUUACCAAGGCUUUGACGGGUAGCCGGCAUGAGAGGGUGACCGGCCACAUUGGGACUGCGAUACGGCCCAGAGUCCUACGGGAGGCAGCAGGGGGGAAUAUUGCACAAUGGGGGGAAGCCUGAUGCAGCAACGCCGCGUGCGGGAUGACGGCCUUCGGGUUGUAAACCGCUUUCGCCUGUGACGAAGCGUGAGUGACGGUAAUGGGUAAAGAAGCACCGGCUAACUACGUG